AACAUCAGUAUCCCAUGGGCUCUACUGUACCUCUGGCAAUCAGCACCCCCAACAGUAACCAGGCCUAGAGGUUUUAGCAAGUCUCUAGGCCCUGAGUAGACAGCGAGUAUGCUAUGGGCUGAAGCGUUGCCUGUUUCUUGCAGCCCGAUAAGGAUAGCUGCUGGUUGCCGGUUUUGGUGGUCGCCAGGAUCGUGUUUAUUCCUCUGCUGUUGCUAUGCAACGUGAAAAAGCACUACUACCUGCCUGCGAUCUUUAAACACGAUGCCUGGUUCAUCAUCUUCAUGGCUGCCUUUGCCUUCUCCAACGGCUACCUUGCCAGCCUCUGCAUGUGCUUCGGGCCCAAGAAAGUCAAACCAGCUGAGGCGGAGACCGCAGGAAACAUCAUGUCCUUCUUUCUUAGUCUGGGCCUGGCUCUGGGAGCUGUAUUGUCCUUCUUGUUAAGGGCACUUGUGUGAUAUCAUGGAGACAGACUGACUGCACUGCCUGCCUGCUUCCUGCUCAUUUCCCCCCCUGCCUGGGAUGAGCAGGGGUCCAGAGGUUUGCUCUUCUAGCUAACCUUGCCUUUCUUCUGGCCUGUGCUGGGCCCAGAUGUCCAGGCCCCAGGGAGGGAGCCUCCUCGGAUGGACUUGAGAUUGAGGGGUCAGAAUGGCAAGGGAGCACAAUCUCUUACAGAUAGCUCUGACUGUCCCUGCUUAAACCAAGCACACAGGGCUCCUAGGCUGAGAGAGCGCUAUCUGCCUAUCACGAGGAUGGGUGGAGGUGGAAGGCUGGCUGGUGGAUCACGUGCUCUGUUGAUGUUCCUUCUCCCUCCUUUCUUGUCCCCAUUCCUUGUCGUUUUACUGCCUUUUUAUACUGACAGAAACCAGGAGCCUUCCGAGGCCCUGCGGUUAAAUAAACGUUUUGUUUUGUUUUGU